ACACUGAACACACACACACACACAACCAGACACACUGGACACACACACAGCCAGACAUAUUGAAAACACACACCCCGCGGGUAAUGGCGAAGGGAAUUCACGUGGCAGUGCCAAGCCCAGAGGCGACCUAUUCUCACUAAGACACAUGCACACAUGCUAACAAACACACACUAACAAAUACACAGUGCCAAGCCCAGAGGCGACCUAUUCUCCGCCAGCUGAUUCACUACCGCAGGUGUGUUCAGACACGCACACACACACACACACUAAUACACACACUAAAACACACACUAACAAACCCACUUUCCAGAACCCCAGAGGGAGCCAACCCUUGGAGAGGAAGCUGGGUUGGGGACAUUCACAUCAUGGGUCAACUGUUUGACCUCAGCCUUUUUGCUACAGCCAAACCCCACUUCCAGACAUGGUCAUUUAUUCUUCAAAAGGAGUCAUGAUCUGUGUACUUCCUGGGUCACAGAACUAGUGUGUGUAUGUGUGUGUUUGUGUGUGUUCAGUGUGUGUAUGUGUGUAGGUGUGUGUUUGGGUGUGUUCAGUGUGUGUAUGUGUGUAGGUGUGUGUUUGGGUGUGUUCAGUGUGUGUGUGUAUGUGUGUGCAUUGAGGUGUGUGUUUUUGUGUGGAUGUGUAUGUGGGAUGCAGGCAGAAGGCAACAGUCAUGCAAACGGGAAGGGACAGAUGUAGCAGGAAACAUCACAACAUGGAGAAAUUAUCUAUAUCACACACACACCAGGGAUAAGGGUAGGUCACUAUUAACUUAAGCAUAUUUAAUUCUGCUCUGAGUUGAAUAAAUGUAAUUAAAGAGGACAGGACAGAUGUUAUACACCUGUCUCGGAAUAUGCUCACACACGCACACGCUCCCACACGCACACACGCCACACACACACACACACACAAACACACGAUGGGACGGAAGGAGAUUGAACAUGCAGAAAUG
ensembl:lncRNA